AACUCUAAAGUUCCUUUGAAAUAAAAAACAAAUCAUAUGCACAAACAUUGCAUGCAUCAUAUGCAUAAGCAGGUUUUGUUUCUGGUCCCUUGCCCUGUGGUCUAACUCUAUGUCCUUCAUUUAUUUUGAAGACAAGCUGACUCACUGGUACUACACUAGAGCCAAUAUUUCAAGACUGAUGGAUCACUCAGACCAUGGAUUCACGAGGCAGGCGCUGUG
rnacentral:lncRNA from 1 species